UAGGGAAUCUUCCGCAAUGGACGCAAGUCUGACGGAGCAACGCCGCGUGAGUGAAGAAGGAUUUCGGUUCGUAAAACUCUGUUGUUAGAGAAGAACAGCGCAUAGAGUAACUGUUAUGCGUGUGACGGUAUCUAACCAGAAAGCCACGGCUAACUACGUGCCAGCAGCCGCGGUAAUACGUAGGUGGCAAGCGUUGUCCGGAUUUAUUGGGCGUAAAGCGAGCGGAGGCGGUCAAUUAAGUCUGAUGUGAAAGCCCCCGGCUCAACCGGGGAGGGUCAUUGGAAACUGGUUGACUUGAGUGCAGAAGAGGAGAGUGGAAUUCCAUGUGUAGCGGUGAAAUGCGUAGAUAUAUGGAGGAACACCAGUGGCGAAGGCGACUCUCUGGUCUGUAACUGACGCUGAGGUUCGAAAGCGUGGGUAGCAAACAGG
rnacentral:rRNA from 1 species